AUCUAGCUAAUGAGUUCUGAAUGGAACGAAACGCGUGUCCUGGAU
rnacentral:hammerhead_ribozyme from 1 species